rnacentral:rRNA from 1 species
GACGAACGCUGGCGGCGUGCCUAAUACAUGCGAGUUGAGCGCUGAAGGUUGGUACUUGUACCAACUGGAUGAGCAGCGAACGGGUGAGUAACGCGUGGGGAAUCUGCCUUUGAGCGGGGGACAACAUUUGGAAACGAAUGCUAAUACCGCAUAAAAACUUUAAACACAAGUUUUAAGUUUGAAAGAUGCAAUUGCAUCACUCAAAGAUGAUCCCGCGUUGUAUUAGCUAGUUGGUGAGGUAAAGGCUCACCAAGGCGAUGAUACAUAGCCGACCUGAGAGGGGGAUCGGCCACAUUGGGACUGAGACACGGCCCAAACUCCUACGGGAGGCAGCAGUAGGGAAUCUUCGGCAAUGGACGAAAGUCUGACCGAGCAACGCCGCGUGAGGGAAGAAGGGUUUCGGAUCGUAAAACUCUGUUGGUAGAGAAGAACGUUGGUGAGAGUGGAAAGCUCAUCAAGUGACGGUAACUACCCAGAAAGGGACGGCUAACUACGUG